UACGUAGGUGGCAAGCGUUAUCCGGAAUUAUUGGGCGUAGAGAGCGCGCAGGUGGUUGAUUAAGUCUGAUGUGAAAGCCCACGGCUUGACCGUGGAGGGUCAUUGGAAACUGGUCGACUUGAGUGCAGAAGAGGGAAGUGGAAUUCCAUGUGUAGCGGUGAAAUGCGUAGAGAUAUGGAGGAACACCAGUGGCGAAGGCGGCUUCCUGGUCUGUAACUGACACUGAGGCGCGAAAGCGUGGGGAGCAAACAGGAUUA
rnacentral:rRNA from 1 species